rnacentral:misc_RNA from 1 species
UCGUGCUGGUGCACCGAACUGCUUUCCUCACGUUCGAUCAGUGAUUGCUCCACGUUCUAAYGUUGGAUGCAAAGAGGGGGGUUCCUGUGUUGCCUACCUAUCGAGAUGGAAAUCGGUUGCCUUCUUUGUGCCUUUCGUCCUCGCGUCCCGCUGGACGUUCGGAUGGACUAGACGGGAGGGCUCGUGUUGCACGGACAUCUCGCACGAUCGUUCUGAUGGACCACGAGCGACUUCUCGUUCUCUCGGAUGCGGAAAGUCCCUAAUGGGCGUGGGUCAUUGGCCUUCGGUCCCGAAUCUAUCUGUAAGCGAUCAUCGCUUUACAUGGCAAUGAAUGACGCUCUCGCCACGUCUUCGACCACGCGGAUCUCUCGGGCUCUCGCGAUGGAUCGUGCGGGGCGGACGUCGGGAAGGAAUGC